UGGGGAAUCUUGCGCAAUGGGCGAAAGCCUGACGCAGCGACGCCGCGUGAGUGAUGAAGGCCUUCGGGUUGUAAAGCUCUGUGGAGGGGGACGAAUAAGGCAUGGCUAACAUCCAUGCCGAUGACGGUACCCCUUUAGCAAGCACCGGCUAACUCUGUGCCAGCAGCCGCGGUAAGACAGAGGGUGCAAACGUUGUUCGGAAUUACUGGGCGUAAAGCGCGUGUAGGCGGCUUGGCAAGUCGGGUGUGAAAGCCCUGGGCUCAACCUAGGAAGUGCACUCGAAACUGCCUCGCUCGAGUAUCGGAGAGGAAAGCGGAAUUCUCGGUGUAGAGGUGAAAUUCGUAGAUAUCGAGAGGAACACCGGUGGCGAAGGCGGCUUUCUGGACGGUUACUGACGCUGAGACGCGAAAGCGUGGGGAGCAAACAGG
rnacentral:rRNA from 1 species